UACAGAGGGGGCAAGCGUUGUUCGGAAUUACUGGGCGUAAAGGGCGCGUAGGCGGCCUGUUAAGUCGAACGUGAAAUCCCCGGGCUCAACCCGGGAACUGCGUCCGAUACUGGCAGGCUUGAAUCCGGGAGAGGGAUGCGGAAUUCCAGGUGUAGCGGUGAAAUGCGUAGAUAUCGGGAGGAACACCGGUGGCGAAGGCGGUUCUCUGGGCCUUACCUGACGCUGAGGAGCGAAAGCGUGGGGAGCGAACAGG
rnacentral:rRNA from 1 species